UUGGAGGGCAAGUCUGGUGCCAGCAGCCGCGGUAAUUCCAGCUCCAAUAGCGUAUAUUAAAGUUGUUGCAGUUAAAAAGCUCGUAGUUGAAUUUCGGGAUUAGUACGUUGGUCGUGCCUUAGGUACGUACUGGUGUUACUGGUUCCUACCUUCUGACGAACCAUCAUGUCAUUCAUUUGGUGUGGCGGGGAAUCAGGACUGUUACUUUGAAAAAAUUAGAGUGUUUAAAGCAGGCUCGCGCUUGAAUACAUUAGCAUGGAAUAAUGAAAUAGGACGUUGAUCCUAUUUUGUUGGUUUCUAGGAUUGACGUAAUGAUUAAUAGGGAUAGUUGGGGGCAUUAGUAUUCAAUUGUCAGAGGUGAAAUUCUUGGAUUUAUUGAAGACUAACUACUGCGAAAGCAUUUGCCAAGGAUGUUUUCAUUAAUCAAGAACGAAAGUUAGGGGAUCGAAGACGAUCAGAUACCGUCGUAGUCUUAACCAUAAACUAUGCCGACUAGGGAUCGGAUGAUGUUAUUUUUAAUGACUCAUUCGGCGCCUUACGGGAAAC
rnacentral:rRNA from 1 species